GUGGACCCACCUGAGACCAUACCGAACUCAGAAGUGAAACGCUGUAAUGCCGAUGGUAGUGUGGGGUUUCCCCAUGUGAGAGUAGGGCACCGCCAGGU
rnacentral:rRNA from 1 species